rnacentral:lncRNA from 1 species
CACACUUCAGCUGCUUUAUAUUCACUUUUUUUUUUUUUUAAUUGGGUGCAGAUGCAGCCAGGGAGAAGGUAAUUGAUGCACACAGCCUCAGGCUCCCGGGAAGAAAGCCUGGGUAUAAAUACCAUAGAUAAAUAAANACAGACAUCAUUUUGGUAGUUCUUUAAGCCUGACAACCUGGGAAAUCUCUGCUCUGUCAGCCCGGGUUCCCAUCCUUCCUUUUUACCUUUCUCCUUGGCCAAACAGCAAAAGGUUCCGAGGAGCAGGAGCAGCAGCGUCAAGGUUGAAAAUCUGUCCAUUUCAGCAGCCACAAGCGUGAAGUAUCCCAGUGCGCACCUUUUAUAAUGAAGAAAUUUCCUCCAGAUAGUCCCCUGGGUCACUGCACCGAAACGCUUUCCCGUAAGAAUACUUUCUUGUUCUUUCCCUUUUUUUUUUUUUGUAGAAAAAGCAAACAAUGAGAGAGCCUAAUGAAGCGUAAUGANGAGAAACAUGACUCCCAUAUUCUUGAUAUUGGCGGCUGAACCAGCUGAGCAGGUUGACUGUGCCAAUGCUAACAAGAAGACUUUAAUGAGAUUCAUAUCCAGGACCUGUUUCCUUUUCAAUGCAUUGUUAUUAUUAUUGAUUUUUCUUCUUAGCGUAAUAUAAAACCCCCUUUCAUGGGAGAGUGUGUCUGCCCAGACACGAUAAUAGAGUGAUUAUAAUCCUUGUAUUUCUUCUGUGUAUUUCUUUCUGUUGAAUCUGUUACCACUUCCGUGAAGAUUGCGCUAUGCUUUAGCACAUCAGGGAGAGGUGACNGGGGACAGAAACCAGGUGUCUUUCAUUUGUUCAGUUAGGAGAUUUGUGAGUUGCUCUCCACAGGUGGCAAGGCUGAGAGAAUCAGAAAGAGGAGAAGGUGGUGAGAAGUGGAGACGAUGGAUGGACAGAACCAAACUAAUUCCUAGAAUUUUCUUGGAAGAGGGAGAAGAUAUUGUCAAAAGGCAGCCCAAAAUGAUGAUCANAAGUCCAGAUAGUCACCGGGAGUAGAAGGCAACUCAGUGGAAUCUCAGAGCACAAUAACAAAACAAAGAAGUCCUUACUGGUCUUGUCUGAUUUUGGAAACUAAGCAGGAUCAGGCCGUGGUAGUACUUGGGUGGGAGGCUAUCUGGGAAUACUAGAGCUAUGGCCUGG